GACGAACGCUGGCGGCGUGCUUAACACAUGCAAGUCGAACGGUAAGGCCCUUCGGGGUACACGAGUGGCGAACGGGUGAGUAACACGUGGGUGAUCUGCCCUGCACUUCGGGAUAAGCCUGGGAAACUGGGUCUAAUACCGGAUAGGACUCCGGACUGCAUGGUCUGGGGUGGAAAGCUUUUGCGGGGUGGGAUGGGCCCGCGGCCUAUCAGCUUGUUGGUGGGGUGAUGGCCUACCAAGGCGACGACGGGUAGCCGGCCUGAGAGGGUGACCGGCCACACUGGGACUGAGAUACUGCCCAGACUCCUACGGGAGGCAGCAGUGGGGAAUAUUGCACAAUGGGCGCAAGCCUGAUGCAGCGACGCCGCGUGAGGGAUGACGGCCUUCGGGUUGUAAACCUCUUUCAGCAUCGACGAAGCGAAAGUGACGGUAGGUGCAGAAGAAGGACCGGCCAACUACGUGCCAGCCGCCGCGGUAA
rnacentral:rRNA from 1 species